rnacentral:rRNA from 1 species
CCUACGGGAGGCAGCAGUGGGGAAUAUUGCACAAUGGGGGAAACCCUGAUGCAGCAACGCCGCGUGAGUGAAGAAGUAUUUCGGUAUGUAAAGCUCUAUCAGCAGGGAAGAAGAUGACGGUACCUGAUUAAGAAGCCCCGGCUAACUACGGGCCAGCAGCGGCGGGAAUACGGAGGGGGCAAGCGUUAUCCGGAUUUACUGGGGGUAAAGGGGGCGCAGGCGGCAGCGCAAGCCAGGAGUGAAAGCCCGGGGCCCAACCCCGGGACUGCUCUUGGAACUGCGCGGCUGGAGUGCAGGAGGGGUAGGCGGAAUUCCUGGUGUAGCGGUGAAAUGCGUAGAUAUCAGGAAGAACACCGAUGGCGAAGGCGGCCUACUGGACUGCGACUGACGUUGAGGCCCGAAAGCGUGGGGAGCAAACAGGAUUAGAUACCCGGGUAGUC